CCUACGGGUGGCAGCAGUGGGGGAUAUUGCACAAUGGGGGGAACCCUGAUGCAGCGACGCCGCGUGGGUGAAGGAGCGUUUCGGCGCGUAAAGCCCUAUCGGCAGGGAAGAAGAUGACGGUACCUGACCAAGAAGCCCCGGCUAACUACGUGCCAGCAGCCGCGGUAAUACGUAGGGGGCAAGCGUUAUCCGGAUAUACUGGGUGUAAAGGGGGCGCAGACGGCAAUGCAAGCCAGGUGUGAAAGCCCCGGGGCCAAACCCGGGUCAGCUCUUGGAACUAGAAGGCUAGAGUACAGGAGGGGCAGGCGGAAUUCCUAGUGUAGCGGUGAAAUGCGUAGAUAUUAGGAAGAACACCAAUGGCGAAGGCGGCCUGCUGGGCUGUGACUGACGCUGAGGCCCGAAGGCGUGGGGAGCAAACAGGAUUAGAUACCCCUGUAGUC
rnacentral:rRNA from 1 species